GCACUGUCAACUCUACUGGGGAGUGUAUGUCCUGAAACAAACGCUUGGGGAAGUACAGUGGUGAGAACCUGUUGGGGAUUGAAGAAUCCAACGCUCUGAUCAGCUCUGCAGGGAUAAGACACCAGAUUCGUCUGUUGGCGACUUCACUGGGGAAGAUAUUCACGAUCAUCUGCAGGGGAUUUUAAGGAAAUUCCCCGAGGGUAUCUGUUCUGAAUAGACGAUCCAAAGCACUUAAAAUUUACAGCACUUUUAAAU
rnacentral:lncRNA from 1 species